CCCUUAGAUGUUCUGGGCCGCACGCGCGCUACACUGAUGCAUUCAACGAGUUUCUUCCUGGUCCGAGAGGAAUGGGUAACCUUUUGAAAGUGCAUCGUGAUAGGGAUAGACUAUUGCAAUUAUUGGUCUUCAACGAGGAAUUCCUAGUAGACGUAGUUCAUCAGACUGCAUCGAUUACGUCCCUGCCCUUUGUACACACCGCCCGUCGCUCCUACCGAUUGAAUGCUCAGGUGAGCCAUUCGGACUUUCAUCAUGCUGGUUUCCAGUUUUGAUGAAGGAAGUCUUGCGAACCUUAUCAUUUAGAGGAAGGAGAAGUCGUAACA
rnacentral:rRNA from 1 species